GUCCGACACUACUAAGCACAAUGAUAAAAUACAUUCUGCUCCAUGAAUCUGUUGGAUAUUUGACAAUUAAUUAAGCAUGGAACAAUCACAUUUGUUAAAGAACAAUAAGCCAGAUCGAGUUUUUUGGGUCAGACAACCAACCCAUUGCAGACUAAGCCAAGCUCUUCCAGACGACAGAGAUUACAAGAACCAAGCUGGAAACAUCUUAUAGCACAGAUGAAGGUUGGGGAUCACAGCUUUGUAAAGGUUUUACGUGCCUGACCUUUUACUUCUUUCUACAUUCUUUGUCUAAGACACAACCUCAGGAAAAGAAAG